rnacentral:rRNA from 1 species
CCUACGGGAGGCAGCAGUGGGGAAUUUUGGACAAUGGGCGCAAGCCUGAUCCAGCAAUGCCGCGUGCAGGAUGAAGGCCUUCGGGUUGUAAACUGCUUUUGUACGGAACGAAACGGCGAGCUCUAAUACAGUUUGCUAAUGACGGUACCGUAAGAAUAAGCACCGGCUAACUACGUGCCAGCAGCCGCGGUAA